rnacentral:rRNA from 1 species
AGCGGAAUUUUAUUGGUGCUUGCACCUUUAAAAUUUUAGCGGCGGACGGGUGAGUAACACGUGGGUAACCUACCUUAUAGAUUGGGAUAACUCCGGGAAACCGGGGCUAAUACCGAAUAAUACUUUUUAACACAUGUUUGAAAGUUGAAAGACGGUUUCGGCUGUCACUAUAAGAUGGACCCGCGGCGCAUUAGCUAGUUGGUGAGGUAACGGCUCACCAAGGCAACGAUGCGUAGCCGACCUGAGAGGGUGAUCGGCCACACUGGGACUGAGACACGGCCCAGACUCCUACGGGAGGCAGCAGUAGGGAAUCUUCCACAAUGGACGAAAGUCUGAUGGAGCAACGCCGCGUGAGUGAAGAAGGAUUUCGGUUCGUAAAACUCUGUUGCAAGGGAAGAACAAGUAGCGUAGUAACUGGCGCUACCUUGACGGUACCUUGUUAGAAAGCCACGGCUAACUACGUGCCAGCAGCCGCGGUAAUACGUAGGUGGCAAGCGUUGUCCGGAAUUAUUGGGCGUAAAGCGCGCGCAGGUGGUUCCUUAAGUCUGAUGUGAAAGCCCCCGGCUCAACCGGGGAGGGUCAUUGGAAACUGGGGAACUUGAGUGCAGAAGAGGAUAGUGGAAUUCCAAGUGUAGCGGUGAAAUGCGUAGAGAUUUGGAGGAACACCAGUGGCGAAGGCGACUGUCUGGUCUGUAACUGACACUGAGGCGCGAAAGCGUGGGGAGCAAACAGGAUUAGAUACCCUGGUAGUCCACGCCGUAAACGAUGAGUGCUAAGUGUUGGGGGGGUUUCCGCCCCUCAGUGCUGCAGCUAACGCAUUAAGCACUCCGCCUGGGGAGUACGGUCGCAAGACUGAAACUCAAGGAAUUGACGGGGGCCCGCACAAGCGGUGGAGCAUGUGGUUUAAUUUCGAAGCAACGCGAAAACCUUACCAGGUUUUGACAUCCCGGUGACCACUAUGGAGACAUAGUUUCCCCUUUCGGGGGCACGGUGACAG